rnacentral:lncRNA from 1 species
UAUGUUAUACAAUGUGAGCCUCAUACUCCACUCCCUGCCAUAAAAGCAUUACUUAGUUUUUUUCUUCAUUUCGAAAAGAAAAACCCCUACCAACUCUCUACUUGUUAACUUUCCAAAAUACCGAUUCCAGAAGAGAAGACGAAGCAGAGACAUGGCUAUUUUUGCCUCCAGGGGUGACAUUAACAGGUACAAAAACUUCAAUCAAAUUACUUUCAUCAAUCUAUAUUCUUUAUUGUAUACUAUCAGACACAUGCAUGUGUAUUCCUUAAAAAUCAGAGGUUUAUACUGCAAAGUGGGUACUUGUAUUUGAAUUUCUUUAUUAUGUUUGAAUAUCUGUCUAUGGGUAUAAAUUGAAAAACACGUUACCCUUAUCACGAAGAAUAUUUGUCUCAAAACUCAAUUGGUGCAUCUUCCUGACAAUCAGAUUACCUUUUGUGGAAAAUGGAACUUACUAAAUCAAAAUAGUACAAUCUAAUAUUGUUUACGUUUUUAAUAACAUAAAAGAUUUAUAGCAACAACGAAUAGUUGGCCUACAGAUAACGACAGAAUGAUCAAGUUUCAUCUUGUGAAAGUAAAGGUAAGUUCAUUUUUUGUAAUUUUAUGUUAAAUAGACUUAAAUUUGAAUUUCCACCGCGACUGAAAUAUGUUCAUAUAAUGUUAGGGUGAAAGACAUUUUUCCAAACACUUCUUAACCACAUAUGGCAACAAAUUUGUUAAUAUAUGUUUUGCAAUUGAUCACUGUGACAACUGCCUAAAGAUACAGUUAGUCGGUAAUCAUGUGAAUAGAGUUAUAGAAGAAGACACAUUUGAGAGAAUUAAAGCUUUUUAUCAUUCAGAAAGAGAUGUAAUAGUUAAGCUUUAGUAUGUAGGCUUUGGUCUCUUUUAUCUUUCCCUGUGAGAUAGGAUGAACUUUGAGUUAGCUUUGACACCAAAUCCAAAUUUCUAUGUGAGAGACCAACUAACCUCUCACAAACUUGAUCAAAUUGAAGUGAAUUUCAAUCUAAAGUACUCACAAAAGCAUGAACAACCUAAAGUGACCACUGAUGAGCGGAUAUUUUAUACGCUUUUUGGGGUUAAUUUCAUAUAGUUUUUAGUAUGUUUUAGUUAGUUUUUAGUUUAUUUCCAUUAGUUUUUAGGAAAAAUUCAUAUUUCUGGACUUUACUAUGAGUUGUGUGUUUUUCUGUAAUUUCAGGUAUUUUUCUGGCUGAAAUUGAGGGAGCUGAGCAAAAAUCUGAUUUAGGCUGAAAAAAGACUGCUGAUGUUGUUGGAUUCUGACCUCCCUGCACUCAAAGUGGAUUUUCUGGAGCUACAGAACUCGAAAUGGUGCGCUUCCAAUUGCGUUGGAAAGUAGACAUUCAGGGCUUUCCAGAAAUAUAUAAUAGUCCAUACUUUGCUCAAGGAUAGAUGACAUAAACUGGCGUUCAACGCCAGUUCUCUGCCCAAUUCUGGCGUCCAGCGCC